UUAUCAGAGAAAUGCAUUCCGUUCCCCUUCUUCCCUAAAAGGCUUCGCUGAUGCUGAGCUGUCUACGUUAUAAAAGGCCACCAGCCAUUUUGGUGACUGUACAGUAACUCAAAACCUGUUUCCUCACCGUCUGUGCAUCGCCCGGUUCCCAGAGACAUCAGGGUCACUUUUCAAGACCAGCAGAAGCUACAAGUUGAGUAGGUAUUCCCAGGACACAGAAGCAAGCACACAGAAUACUUGAAGCUUGAUUU